GCCCUCCUCAGUGCCCAUCACUCCUCCUCCCCUCCCUCCCACCCCCCAUCAACCCUCAGAUUGUUCUCAGCUUUUAAGAGUCUCUUAUGGUUUGCCAAUCUGGUUUUUAGAAAGUUCUUCUGUCUACUAGGCAGGAAAUCUCUCUCCCUAUAAUCUCUACCUAUUGGCCCUACUCCUACCUUUCUUACGCUAUUGACUAUCUUUAAUAAUUUUGCAAUUGGGAAAAACUGGAGCCAAGGUGGGGUCAGAUAACUUGUACAUUGUCAUAGCUACAAAUGGCAGAACAGAGAUUUAAAUCCAGAUCCGCCUCACUGCAAAUCUCCUGUUCUUUCUGUAUGUCACCUAGCCUUUCAAUCUAGGCAAGAGAAAGGCAGCCUGCCGUCUAGCACGGGGGACAAGUCUAAAGACCCAACAGGAGCGGAGUGCAGAGGAGGGAGGGAAAAACUGGUGAGCGAGAGUGAGAUGGAGGCGGGCAGGAGGACACCCCUCUCUGAUUGGGGUUACAUUUUCUUAAGCCAGGCUGACUGUGGUUAUCUGACUAUAACUCACAUCCAGCUAUUGACAGCUUUCCACCUGGUGACAUGCUUAAUGGCCCAUGAAAUUCUAGCCCUCAGGGCUCAAGCCUGAUAUUUAUGGUUCCCCACAUAAACCUAAAGUGGAUUGUAAAUGUAUCUCUCUCAGAUUUAGGUGACUAAAAUGGCUGUUCGAAACUCUGGAAGGGAUAGUCGACUUUAUGGACAUGAUGUACCAACUUUAAAAAAGAUUAGGGUGGGAGGAGGGUACAGAGAGCCGCUGCUCCCAGAAGCCUCCUGGAGUGAGAGCCGCCUUGUGCGCCUGAGGGUAUUGAUGUUAUGGAAGAAGAGGGCCAGGUAGGGGGAGGCACAUCAAUUUUGUGCCAUUGACUAGUCACACGUAUCGUAUGAUCAAAAUCCACUGUAUUGUAAUGAAAAAAGGGAAGCUGUUCAGCAUAGGAAGCUUUUCCUAAGCUCCAAAGUAAGCCAAGUGAAUAUCUGUAUAAAUUGGGCACGUAUGUAGUAGGAGAUACCUAAAUAGGAAGACUCUGCUUGUUGAAGAUUUGUCCUUGCUGAAGUAUGGAUAACCUUCAGGAGACUGUCUCCAGAAGCAAGCGUCAUUUGGUGUUUCUGUUUAGGUGUGUGCAUCCUUCAGACUUGAUGCCUCUAGAGCCAGCUGUUUCCUCAUCUUCGGCUUCUCUGAUGUGAACUUGCACCGUAUGCAGGAUGUGACUUAAAUUUCACCAGCAAGUUCCAACAUGCAGAUUUUAAAAGGAAUACUCCCAUGAAAAGAUGGGGACAUAGUAACAACAACCAAGUGACCACAUUUCCCUCUACUGCAUGCCCACUCCCCGUUCUAAAUUCUUUAGUAUUUUUUUCCAAACGUUUCUCUCUCUUCCCACCAAUCAUAAUGUGGGUUAUUAGAAAGGAUGCAGUUAGGGGCCGAUCUGGCAUGUUAGUAAGAAGUCCGGCAUGAGAGGCUCAAAGACCCAGGUUUGAAUCUUAGCUUUCCUACGUACUAUAUUUACUGUGUAACUUGGGACUUACUGUCUGAGCCUCAAUGUUCUGAUCCGUCAAAUGGGGGUAAAAACACCAACGAAAACAUUGUGAAAAGCAUGAAUGACACCAAGAACUAAAAAGUAAUAGGUUUAUAAAACAGGAGUAUUGUUUGCCAAGGGGUGGUGCAGUUCCCCCUUUUUUGCGGAAGAGAAUUUGCUUGACCAUUCAACUGUGUGCACCAAAUCCUCUCCCCAGGGACCAGCAGAAAAUGGCAAGCUUCUUCUGAGUGGAAACAGGGCUCCCCAAAUAGACUCUCUGGUCUCCCAGUUUCACCCAGGAGAAAAGGCAUUCUCCUAGCAGGCGUGUUCACACCACGAGCAAUCUUUCUCACCCUCUCUCAGUGGAAUUCCUCUCUCGGGUUUUUGAGAUAUCCGGGCCUCCAGGACAGAGCAGUGGUUUGGAAACAAAUUCAGAUUUGAAUGCAUCCCCUCCCCCUUGCUGGGGGUGGGAUUUCCAGGCUGCCUUUUCUGAAGAUACUUUGUGAGUAACCUGAAGUCGUUAUGCCCUCCUGAGGUCGAUGUAUAAAAGCCAGCGCAUAAAUAGGAACUAAGGCUGAAGUAAGCAUAAAUGUUCCCCCAACAACUUCAAUAGAGAAAGGCUUGUUUGAUCCUCUGGAAACUUCCUGAAACUGAGCUGAAUAUUUGUUUGUUUUGCGGUAGCUCCCUUUUUUUUUUUUUUUUCAAGCCUUGUAGUGCAUGGCUGUUGGUUUCUCUGUUUAAAAGGAAAGUGCUCUUUCUCAGUAAUGAUGCUCGCGUUCUGAACUUGGCAAUACCCACUUCUAAAGGCCAUUUCAUCAUAAAGAUAAAGUUCUGCUAACUCUUAGACCUCCACAGAUAGAGGAUGUGGCCAGUUACCAUGAAUUGUGCUGACCUCCCAAAGGGUGGCAUUGGGAAGACACAGCCUAAAAGCGUGUGACAGAAAGUUUCUAGAUUUAUUUUCACAUUGGAGAUUUGACCCCGCUGGGGAAAAUGUCAACAUAAAUGACGCUGCAAACAAAACCGUAGCAUUCUGACCUUUUAAUCACCAAAGACACAAAGACCAAGUUAAAGAAUGAACCCAAGACAGGUAGAAGAAAAAGAAAAAAUUUCCUCCCCUACAGACUACUACAAUGAUGAUGAUGAUGAUGAUGAUGAUGAUGAUGAUGAUAAUAAAAGAACCAAUGGUAGGCAUCCUUCUCCUUCAGCAGCUUCAGACUGCCUUCUACUUGAUGGCAGGCCUAGUUGGAUACCUCCAAGCCCAUAGAGGCACUAGGAUGUACUACGAGUCAGCUUACUCAAAAGGGCAGAUUGCUAGGUGUUCUGGGGGAGAGGGUGGAUAGCUAUUGCCCUUCUUCUUUUUCUUCUUCCUCCAGGUUUAGUUUCCUCUUCUCUUUCUUCCUUUCUCCCAUACUUGAUCCAAGUAAAAGCCAGGAAUUAUGAGCGCCGUACCUCAACUCCUCUCUCAAAGUGGGGACGUAGGGUUGCUUUCGUCUCUUUCUCCCAGUCUGAUAAGAUAGACCUGAAGAGGAGAAGAACACGGGUUUCCUACGUGGGUAGAAGGAAUGGUCUCUGUAAGGAAUUGGACGAGCUUCUCCAACCCUCUUCUUGUAGACUGCGUCCGGAUAUGCACCGAACACACUUCCUGAAGGAGUUCAUCCGAGAAACAAAGGGAAUGUUUAACCUGAACAAAAAUAUUUUGGUAUUUCACAAGGGUAACUCUUAAGGCGACAAACCCCGUGACUACUAAUGCUACCACACCACAACCUCUAAGUGAGGCAGAUCUGAAAAUAAAGGCAUUAAGAAUGCAGUCUUGCCUGGAGUUGACUCAGGCAGGGAAUAGAAGACGCAAAGGCUCAGAAUGUGUCUCCAGCCAAGUCCAAGGUUUUAUUUUGUUCUGUUGAAAUUAAAAGCAAAAUGCAGGGUGUACUCUCCCUAACUCAUUUGCCCUAACCAUUUCAAGCAUGUUUCUGUUGCCGAGGGAAUUGAGGGCCAAGUCUCUGAUUCAUUUCCCCGAUGCAACAAAGCAUCCUUGGGAGAAAGCGUCACUGUCUUUCACAUGCAUUUGCAAAGCCCUUUAAGGUGUUCUUUCGAAACCCUUUAAGUCUCAUAGCUGUAUUCUGAUUGCAGAAAGCACAUUUUAAAUCAGUAGAGGCAAAUGGAAUCAAGAUCUAUCAAGAAACGCCUUUUUAAGGAUGAUAGCUUCCUCCAGUUUAAUUACUAUAUUACUAAUUGUGGCUUUUUUCUUCUUUUUUCUUUAUACCUAGAAUCCAGAAACUAGGAAAAUCUAGCUUUUUCCUCUCUCUCUCUCUCUCUCUCUCUCUCUCUCUCUCUCUCCUCUCUCCUCUCUCCUCUCUCCUCUCUCUCUCUCUGGAUUUGAAGCUCUCUUUUCUUCCGUCUCCCCAACAACAACAAAAAAAUGUAUUCUAGUCAGGCUAAAACACACAAUUCAGCAAUAUGCCACCAUCACCCUAAGGUUUAAUGUUCUUUCCACUGAAAAUAAGUAAAAAUAG